AUGUGUUGGAUUUUUUUUUCAAAUGAAAGCAAUAUAUAGAAAGCAUUUGUUCUAUACAGGAAUGUAAAUGUCCGAGUUUACUUAAUAGCUGUUCAGCUGUCAUAAUUUCAGGGCUGUAUUUUCAGAGUAGAAAAUAUGAAAUCUUAUUUCUGUAAAAGAAAUGAGAUCAUAAGAGUGACUUCAGAGGUAAUAUAAUGCUUUAUCUCUUCAGAAGGGUGUUUUUGUUUUGGUUUUGUUUUGGAAAGAAAAUUUGUAGAUUUAACUGGAGGGCAGGGGAGAGUUCCCUCUUGACUGAUGCCACAGACUACUAGUUUGUUGUACCUGUGGGUCUAAUUUGAAAGCAAAUUGACCAUGCUUUGCAGAAGUGAAGGCCUGCUAAGAUUUAUUCUGAUAUAUUUGUAAAAUUAAGCAAGCACCCACAGACACGUACUUAGAAAUUACAGAUUUAAUGUGCUUUCUGGUUGUUUCUUCGAGUCGCUGGUGCAGACAGAUGAUUUACUUCUCUGAGCAUCCAAAUGGUCAAACAAAAAAGUCUGAAAAGACUUUAUCAGUUAAAGUGGAUGAUAUCUAGACCCUGUUUGGAGCAUACAUAAGAAGUGAUGAUGGCUUUAAAUAUCUUUAAAUACAAGUCUUUUUGCACAUGCAAUACGCAGUGAACACUUAAUGAGAAAUGAAAAUGUCUGUCAUGUCUAUAGAUAUACUUAAUGAGGAGUAGAAUUAAAUAACUUAGGACCUUCAGCAUAAAAUAAGUUUCCUCAUUUGCACUAAGCUAGCAAGGUGAGUCAAGUGUUAACUUCUGAGUAAUUUCUGACAGGGUUAGAAAUUCCAUUUUCUUGUUUAUUGGUUUGUCUUAAAUUCUGUAGCUGAAACAUAUUUAUAUGAACAGUCUUAAACAUUUAAAUUCUUUUAGAAUAAUUUGCUUUCACUGAGAAGGUUACAAUGGAAAAAGUCUUGCAUGCAAUAAUUGAUAGUAAGGCUUUCUCAAAGGCUUUUUAAAGAAAGGCUGUACUUAAAAAAGUUGCUCAAACUGUAUCUCAUAACCCAGAAAACAUGAUAGAUAACAGUAGUCCCUAAUUCUACUUAGUUGGAGUGUAUGAGGGGAGGUUCAGUCUACUGUAUAGGGUAAAGAGUAAAUUACAGGUGGUGCUUUCCUGCAGAAAGUGUGUGGCUGAAUUAUUGCCAGUGGUGGAUGUGUUACGUUACAAUAUUUCACGUCUGUCAUUGAUGAGUGAAAGGUGUGUGUUCCUGAAUAUUGAGUGUUGCUUGAUUUGGCAGCUAAAUAAAUAAUAUCUGACUAUUCAGUUGGACUCCACAAACAUGACAUGUCGUAUUUGAUUGUUUCUUUACUACAGGAUUGAUCUUCCACCCACUCACAAACCAUCUUCAUGUGAGGAGCGAGCAUUCUCAGUCCCACAGAAAGAACCUGUGCUUCAGAAAGAACAUUUUCCUUUGCAAAGCCAGUACAGAGAGAAAGAUGCUGGGAACUUGCAGCACAUGAAAGCUGUGAAUGGAAGGCAAUUCACUUACGAGGCUGAAGAGCCAGAAGAACAAGAAGGUCUUCAGCCUACGUAUCCUGUUUAUCAACAAACUUACCACAAAAAUUGGAGCAGCAGAUACCCACAAAACUCAGGACCUGGAAGAGUCUACAUCAAUCCAAGGGAGCAUUAUGUAUGAUUCUGUACCCAGAUGUCUCUAACAAGGGUUUUAUUACCUGUUGACUGUAUGACCCGUAUGUCUCGUUGGCUUUCAUCUCUAAAAUAAUUGGUAUUUUUUCCUGUGGGAAGAAAUUGCACUGGAGAAUUUUAUUAUAGGUAAACUGCAAGGAAUUUGAGACCUAACUUGCUUCUAGUCUUGGGCAUGUGUUUGGUUUUGUAGUUUUAUCAACCUGCCAAAAGAGGAGAGCCUUUUAGCUUUAGUCAUAAGAUGCAUACCUAGAUUAAUUGUUUGACACAUGCCAAAACGUAGCUAAGCUUUUUCCUUGGCUGUUUCUUGGAGCGUUCUCUCCCUGGAUGGAUAUUUUAGAAUAACUUUACCUAUGUAAAAGUCAGUAAAUAUGAGCAAGAUGGCUGAAUCCCUUGUGACAUUACUAAUCUCAGGCUGAGAGUCAUUUUAUCACAUUUUAGAAAACUUGGGAAUCAUUUUGACUGGCCUUAGCUAUUGAUUUCUCAACUAGCUCUACCUCUCCCAGUCAAAUGAACAACUACACUACCUCUCAAAUACUGACUGGCUGUUUCUAUAAAGUAUGCUGUGUGUCUUCCCACCUUGUUAAAAGUGAAGCAAUAGCCUUACAUCAGAAACUUUUUAUUUUCUCUUGAUUCUGCCUGUUGAUGUCCAUGCUGGUUUUGGUUUUACAGUUAGGUCUAUAUGAAACUUGGUUGGAGGAAGUAGAUGACUAGACAGAGAGAACUUUCUGUAAGUGUCUUAUGUGAAGCUACAUCAUACCAAUCAGUUCCUAUUUAGCCAUUUUUCCAAGUAUGACUCCUAUUUUAAAGAGUUUACCUUGCUUGGUAAUAAAUACACUCCUUGCUUUCUUCUCAGUUUGCAUUAGAACAUCCUGGGAUGUGUUAUGUCUUAGCAAGAAAAGAAAGGCUUCAGUCAACCAGGUACUUUUCAGUAAAAAAAAAAGAAUAUACUUUGUUAGUGCUGAAAUGAGCUCACAGGACAAUCUUGAAAUAUUUUAAGACAGCAGAAAAUAGGUUGGUGUCUAAAAUUUGCUGGAGAAAAUUAAAUGGCUUGUGUAUUCUCUAAGUACAUGUACACUUAAGUACAGAAUAAUGAUUUUCAUUAGAUGACCUGAAGACAAAAUGUUGAGAAGAAUGGAUGUGUCAUACUGAACUGGGUAUUGUACAGAACUGAACAUGAAUUCUAUGGUGUUAGUGUGUUCCUCUGCAGAUGUUUGGGUUUUUUAGAGGCAAGAGUCAAAGCUGUAGAAGCAGCAGAGUUGAAAGGUAGCAUAGUGAAAUGUGCUGCAGGCAGGAGGUCGUUGUUAAACCUGUAUUCAACCUGCAUUCAUCUCCAGCGUUGUAAAAGGUAAUGAGAUCCCUGUCCAUGAUAGGGCGAGGUAAAUUAAAUGUUUCUAGCUUGUUACAGGUAGCAGCUAGAAGAUUAUGGCUUAGUGCCUGUGUUCUUGAUGCUGUAGAAGCAGAUAUUAGCUGUUCUCUUGCUACGCAGCUUUCUGUUGACAACUGAAGGGAAGGCAAAGGAAAAGGUUGUAGAGAACCUGUUUCUUGGGAGCUACCUUUGAACCACUGUCACCUUGCUUUUCUUUUAGGAACUGAGCACAUUCAUGUAAACUGAGCAGCUGUUUUAAACUUUAAAGCUACCUGCUGCAUCUGAGGCCUAAAGAAGGACUCAUAUUUUUGUCCCCCAAAAAUAUGUUUUCCCACAAUGUCAGUUUAAGCACCUACCUCUUUCCAUGAGCAUUGCCUCACCUUAUCCUUAUGUUACUGCAGCUCCAGAAAACAUCAGCUCUCAAAACAUGAAAAGAAAACAGUGUCUUGGCCAAACAUUAAAACACAUGGAAUGGUAGACAAUUCCAUGAAUGAACUAUACCUCUUGAGAUAAUUUGAUCAAUAUUACUGUGGAAAACUUCACACCAAAAAUAUUAGGAUAUACAUUAUAGAGUGGUUCAAACCUGUUGUUGUGAUAACACUUCCUCUGCCUUCAUCAGUACAAUGAGCAGGUGAUCAUUUCAGUCCCUGUUAUGUUGGCAGAUGAUGUAAAAACCAAUUAUUUUUGGUUCACACCUUUUCUAUGGCUCUUUAUUCUUAUUUGCAGAUACAUUUUUGUGUGAAGAAUUAAAACUUUGGGGCAAGGAGAGAGGGAGGAAGAAUGCUAUCAACAAAACUCUAGCUGGUUUUUUGAAUUUGUAAAACUAACUUGAAAAUGUAGUCCAACUGUGUUACCCAAGUUAUAUAUCAACAAACUGCAGAAAGCUUGACUUGCAAACUACCCAUCAGGAUGUAAUUUGCCCUAAAGUCAUUAGCAAAAUAUAUUAUCACCUACAGGUUUAUUACCUGUGAGAAAUGGUUUCACUGUAAUCUGUUCAGGGACAUUUAGUGUGUUAGCUUUUUGAAUUAUUGCUUGUAGUCUUCAGUGUGGCUGGAUUUUGGGGGAGGGAUUUGGCACAGAAUGCUCAGAAGAGAACAGAAAAAAGUCUGCUGAUUAGGACUUCCCACAGAAAGAAUUGUACAUAUAGAAGUAGGUUUGAUCUGCUUUUUCAAGAUGUAGAAAAUGUCCUUUUUUUAUUUUUGUACAUUUUCAAAUGCUUGUAUUUGUAUUUUGAUUGAAAUAAAAACAUUCAAAAUAUAAAAUUUUCAUAUGUCGUUUAGAUUUGAGAUUGCUUAAAGUAUGGGAAAAUGGAUCCACUUUUUUGGUGAUAUGUUUCCUUCUCUCUAAUUGCAUAUACAGAGUAUGUGUUUUUUCCUAACAGUGCCACUUUUGAAUGUCUGUGGUGUUGUCUGCUGAAAUCCUUUCUAAUAUUUAUUUUACAUUACAGGAAGCGUAUAGUACUUUGUUAAAAUCUAGCACUUAGGUAAACUGAACACCCAAAAUCACUGGUGAGGGAGGUAGGAAAGGAGGGGAAGAGUAGUAAUUCACAUCUCUAGCUUUGAGAAAUGUAAGUUGUCCUCUGCUCAAGUAUCUUUAAAUUGUACAAGGUAGUCCAAUUAUAGAAUGUAUAAGAUUUAGUAUUUGGAGUAUCGAAAAUGUUUGUGCAUACAAUACAAGUGAAAUCUAAGAAAAUGUACUAUUAAAAGAAGGGAAACACUAAAUAAGAUAUUAUUAAAGGACUACUACUGUUCAGUCACAAAAAUUAUCUAAUGUAUUGGGUACCCAGCUCAAGGAAAGCCCAAUAAAAGGGGAUGAUUGUUCAUGAAGAGCGGAGGCAAGGUUUUUACCUUCAGAGUUCUUAACUUUAGCUUCUUUCUGGCAGUGUUGCUGCUAUUUCCAUCUCCGAGUGACACAAAUUCAGGUGCAGAAAACUGUACUGUUGAAUAGAUAAGUGAUUAAAAUGUAUCAUAAUAACUUUUCUGAUGCCACAGACAUGAACUUGUUCUCUCUGAACCACUGCAUUGUUUGAAGUCUCUGCAGGUGAGUGCUGUAGUAACAGAUAGCAGAGCAGUCGAAAUUGUUUUGACAACUAAGGUCACUUCAGAGGUUGCUGAAGAGGAGAUCUAAAGCUCUGGGUGAAAAAACCCUCGAAGUAUCUGUGGUCGUUAACUGCUCGAUUGCCCUGUGGGAGGUAGCCUAGGGUUUUCUGUCCACCUGUGGCACUUACCAGAGUAGUAGAAGACUAGGUUUGACUUUUGGAAAUGCAUUUAUUCCCAAGAGCAAAGCUAGUGCUUCCUUGCAGUUUACACAUAUAACGUAUCUUACCAGUGUCAUGAAAAUAUUAGGCUUGACGUUAAUCAAGCAGCUCUGAGGUUUUCAGUGGUGUUCCAAAGCUGUUUUCAGCAGGGUUUGUGCAGUUGGUGGCAUAGAUCUCUGCAGUACUGUGGAAACUUAGAAGCACUUGCUUGACCAGUUGUUCUGAAGGUGUUUAAAGAUAGUUUAAAGAUGUUCUAACGAUGUUCUAAAAAGAUAUGUCAAAGUUACAGUAAACUGUGACAACUAGUAAAAAGCAAAGGCAGAAGAGUGGUUGAAUAUCUCAGCAGGGUAACACGUAAUAGAAUUUCUGGUGUAUUUGGUAUAUUGCUUAAAAAAUUCAAUGGCAUUAUAACCUACCAGCAUUCAUUCAUUCAUUCAUUCAUUUUUGUUGUCUUUGUAUGUCCUGAUGUGUAACUGAGAUGAUAUACUUUGAAAAUACUUGUAAGCAAUGAAGAACUGCUAGGUAGGAGUGUCUUUUCUAAUAAACCAGUGUGUGAAAGGA